ACAUCAAGUCGAACGGUGAAGUACCUCGGUACGGAGGCGAGUGGCGGACGGGUGGAGUAACGCGUGAGCAACCUGCCAUACAGUGGGGGAGUAACGACAGGGAAACUUGUGCUAAUACCGCAUGACACAUUGGGACCGCAUGAUUCUGAUGUCAAAGAUUCAUUGCUGUAUGAUGGGCUCGCGUAUGAUUAGACAGUUGGCAGGGUAACGGCCUACCAAAUCAACGAUCAUUAGCCGAACUGAGAGGUUGAACGGCCACAUUGGAACUGAGAAACGGUCCAGACUCCUACGGGAGGCAGCAGUGGGGAAUAUUGGGCAAUGGGCGAAAGCCUGACCCAGCGAACCGCCGCGUGAGGGAAGAAGGUCUUCGGAUUGUAAACCUCUUUCAGCAGGGAAGAAGAGAGUGACGGUACCUGCAGAAGAAGUCACGGCUAACUACGUGCCAGCAGCAGC
rnacentral:rRNA from 1 species